AGGGGGAUAACAUCCGGAAACGGGUGCUAAUACCGCAUAGUUUUUCUUGAUCGCAUGAUUGAGAAAGGAAAGACGGCCUUUGUGCUGUCGCUUAUGGAUGGACCCGCGGCGUAUUAGUUAGUUGGUGAGGUAAUGGCUCACCAAGACGAUGAUACGUAGCCGACCUGAGAGGGUGAUCGGCCACAUUGGGACUGAGACACGGCCCAAACUCCUACGGGAGGCAGCAGUAGGGAAUCUUCCGCAAUGGACGAAAGUCUGACGGAGCAACGCCGCGUGAGUGGAGUAAAGGGUUUUCGGAUCGUAAAACUCUGUUGUCAGAGAAGAACAAGUUGGAGAGUAACUGCUCCAGCCUUGACGGUAUCUGACCAGAAAGCCACGGCUAACUACGUGCCAGCAGCGGC
rnacentral:rRNA from 1 species